rnacentral:rRNA from 1 species
UACGUAGGGCGCGAGCGUUGUCCGGAAUUAUUGGGCGUAAAGAGCUCGUAGGCGGUUUGUUACGUCUGCUGUGAAAUCCCGAGGCUCAACCUCGGGCCUGCAGUGGGUACGGGCAGACUGGAGUGCGGUAGGGGAGAAUGGAAUUCCUGGUGUAGCGGUGGAAUGCGCAGAUAUCAGGAGGAACACCGAUGGCGAAGGCAGUUCUCUGGGCCGUAACUGACGCUGAGGAGCGAAAGCGUGGGGAGCGAACAGG